UACGAAAACAUUUUUUUCUUGAAAAAAUGAAUUAAAAAUAUACUUACAUCAUGUGUGUCCCUGCCAAAUGGAGCAUGAUGUUGUUUAAAUGGUCUUUGUAAAGCUUUCUUGAGAUAAAAACCAUUAGUAUAUAAAAACGGUUUCUAAACAGAGGCAGUGUUUGUUGGAAAAGAUCUUCAUUGGUGGUAGAUUGGGAGUAAUUAGGUGCAAUGUAAUUUAAUGACUCAAAACAACAAACAAGCUUUGGCAUAGCUGUUUAGGAACACACAGUUCUCCUGGGGAAACCUAAUUUGAAAUGAGUGGCAAAACGUGCAUCGUUUUCAGGGGAGCUGCCACUCCUCCAUGACAGAGACAGGAGGAGCAUCAAGUGCAGAGCACAGCACCGCGUGGGCUGCUGCAGGGAAAGGUGACUCCAUCCCAGACAGACCCAGCACAAGCUCCCAGCCAGGACUGGUGCUGUCCCUGAUGUGUAAACCCUUCAGUGCUGUGCUCACAGCUGGCUUGAUGCUUUCAUGUGCCCUCUGUGUCCAUGCUUUGCUUCUGUCCAUGUGGUUCACAGCCUGUAAGUUCCUGACAAGGUUUGUGACACCAGUGUUUGCAGCCUUGGAAGUCUCCCCCGGCUCUGCAGCGUAAGGGAGUUGACCUCCAGAUCAGGUGCACUCCUCCCAACAGCUACACUCCUGUGAGGAGUAAGCAUCAGGGGACAGUUUUCAGAUGAGGACAUGCAGAAUUCUUCUGCCAAGAGAAAAAUUGUAUAUUCAACUGUGUCAUUUAAAACUAGGUAAAUAAGAAGUUGCUACUGCCAGCUGUAAACAUGGGAGACUUGGGUAACUUCUAUUUGUUUGGUACCCAUCACCAGCUGCUGUCCGUGGGCGCAGAUACAGGGAGGGGGAGAUGGAUCGUUCCAACAGAGACUUAACUACAAACCUUUCCUGCACAGCUGGCAGCGUAAGCCUGUUGGCCUAAGCUGAAGUUCUGCAAACCAGCAAAAUUGUAUUUUCGUUGUGCUGGGAGCUUGUGUCUCCUCAGUUAGCCUCAAUGAAACCUAGAGGGCUCCAAGAGAAAUGCAUUUAGUGACAAUGAAAUGCUGAUGCAAAAAGUGUUUGACUUCUUUCUUUUCUUUCUUUCUUUCUUAAAUGAACUAGUUCAGGAACGGGUUGUGAAAGUGAAGAAGAAAAUUUGAAACAUUUUAACUGAAAUGUGACAGGCUUUAGCAAAGGAAGAAAUAGAAGUAGAAAAAGAAAAUUGGGCCUUAAUUUCCUAAAUGCUUUCAACAUUCAAAAAGUUGAAAGGCGAGCUGAUUUAUCCAGUGGGUUACAGCAAUGAGUUCAAGUGACAACUUGAUAGGGCUCUGUCAUCAAAUACUCCUGUGCACAGGAGGAGAGCAUCAACUCAUUCAAAUGUAAUAACGUUUUUGUGCCAUUCUGAAUUUGUGCACUCAGCUGAGGGUGGAUGCAUUGAAACACUAGCCUAGAAUUUCUGUCUGCUCUUUCUGAUCUCCAUUGUGCCCUGGCAUAUCCAGUGAUGCUCUCCUGAGCUGCUCUGACAGUAGGAAUUGAGCCCCAUAUGCCUACACCUCAGUAUCUUCCCAAAAUCAAUAUUUUAAAGAAAGUGAAAUUAUUCCUUCUACUAG
rnacentral:lncRNA from 1 species